AAUAUUGGACAAUGGGCGAAAGCCUGAUCCAGCCAUGCCGCGUGUGUGAAGAAGGUCUNCGGAUUNUNAAGCACUUUAAGUUGGGNGGAAGGGUUGUAGGUUAAUACCCUGCAAUUUUGACGUUACCAACAGAAUAAGCACCGGCUAACUUCGUGCCAGCAGCUGCGGUAAUACAGAGGGUGCAAGCGUUAAUCGGAAUUACUGGGCGUAAAGCGCGCGUAGGUGGUUCAGUAAGAUGGAAGUGAAAUCCCCGGGCUUAACCUGGGAACUGCUUUCAAAACUGGCAAGCUAGAGUAUGGCAGAGGGUGGUGGAAUUUCCUGUGUAGCGGUGAAAUGCGUAGAUAUAGGAAGGAACACCAGUGGCGAAGGCGACUACCUGGACUGAUACUGACACUGAGGUGCGAAAGCGUGGGGAGCAAACAGG
rnacentral:rRNA from 1 species